CCAGGGUGGAGUGCAGUGGCAUGAUCUCGGCUCACUGCAACCUCCACUUCCCGAGUUCAAGCGAUUCUCCUGCCUCAGCCUCCCGAGUAACUGGGACUACAGGCAUGCACCACCAUGCCUGGCUAAUUUUUGUAUUUUUAGUAGAGACGGGGUUUCACUAUGUUGACCAGGCUGGUCUCAAACUCCCAACCUCGUGAUCUGCCUUCCUCGGCCUCCCAAAGUGCUGGGAUUGCAGGCGUGAGCCACUGCGCCCGGCCUGUACCCUCCUUCUUUUUGAAAAAGAGAGUACCUUCUUCCUCUGCUUUCAUUCUGAAGCCUCCAUUUAAAACACUCCUCCUCCUUAGCAAUAGUGAGGGUCCCUUCAGACUAGAUAGGAUGUCAAAAGGCCAAAGCAUUGCCCCCAACACACUCCUUUAAUGUAGUCCCUUCUUUCCAGGUGUCUUCCUGAAGAGAGAAAAAUUUGUAGAUCAGAGAGAUGCAAUUGGGAGCUCCGUAGUGAAUCUAGUUAGAAAUGAGUAGCAGAAAAAAUAGGAAAGACCCGUCUCUCAAUAUUAUGGUUGCUUCCCAAAACAAAACCAGUUGAUACAGCAUGAAGGCAAUUUAAAAUGAUAGAUAUGGACAUGCUGCCUUACAUUUCAUAUCACCUCUUUACUAAAUGAGAAUUUUUUGGAUGCAUAGGGAAAGUUUGCAUAAUAUUGAAAAGUUUGACUUUCUGGAAUCUAUGUGAGCUCAGGAAUAUAUUUGGGGAUCUUAGCAGAGGCCAGUGGUAGCCUAUUAAAUCUAAAACAAUUGGCUUUGUUUUUAAAACCAGCUGCUAUUUUGUAGUUUCAUUUAAAGAAAAAGUACCUUCUAUUCAUUUGCAGAAGUUGCUUUAUUGGAUUCUAUGGUCAUUGUAUAUCAUAACUAUAUCUUUUUUGUUACCUGAAAUAAACAUGUGGCAAUUUUCCUGAUAGAGAUGAUGAAUUAUCUUUAUUGUUUGCUUCAUAUUCCACCCUCACCACCGGGCAAGCGGAGGCUGAGCAUGACUUCUGCCAUAUUGCAGCAACUUAUCAGUUGCAAUCUGUCACCUAAAACUAUUUGAUCAUAUGGUAGUCAUGAAAAAUAUGGAGAAUGUAAAGAUUUUAUGCAUUCAGUCAAAAAAAGGCAGAUCUAAAAUCAGUUGGUUUAUUUCCUGCAGUCUUUCAAGUUGACCAAAGCACUCACUGAUUUGCUCUAUUUUCUUACGUUUUUAGUAUUUCUGUAUAUAUGCACUAAAAAGCCCCACUCAGAAAAAAAAAAUCAGUGCAAUUCUGAGAAAAAGCUUAUCCUAAACAUCUAAAGAUAGCAUUUCUAAUUAUUGUCUACAUUGUGUUUAAACUGUGCAAACUUGAGCAUUAUUCUCACUUUACCAGCUGUGUCUAGGUAGAGUCAUUACAUCAAACGCUUCUAAUUUUACAAAAAGAAAUCAAAACAAGCGUGUGUUUCAGUCCCCGUGACAAAUGCAAACCCUGUGAGUCAAAUAGGCAAACUGAUUAGCAAGCUGGCUGGGAAGUCAAAACAGCAAAUAUAAGGAGAUUAACAAAAUAGAUCUGUAAGAUGAGAGGAGUAAAAAUAGACUCCAGGGGCCAAGUGGGGUCCGGUGGGUGGCUUUGGUGGCACACAUAUGGUUCUGUGCCAGGAACCAGAUGUCUGCCUUUAUGGCCCACAAUCUUCCCUUCAUUCUAGGUUCCCUCCCCACAAGAGAUGGGAUCGCAGAGUUCAUGUCAUUCAGUCUCUCAAUGGAUGCAGAAAUCCUUCUCGGGAACCUCAGAGGUAGCAACUGUCCUUCAUUUGAAUCCUGGUUGCAUGAUGCUCACUGCCUUACAAGGCAGCUCCAUCUAUUUAUUAGUAGGCAAGAUGCAGUCACCUGGCUUCCCUGGCACUGUCUCUGAUAUCUGGGAAAUGGACCUAAGGCUGUACUCGGAGGCAGAUGUGACAAGCUACCAGCCCAGGUGAGAUGGAAGGCCUCUUCCCCUCUCAGGCCAGAGGGUCCAGUGCCAGAAUCAUCCCGACGCUUGUCGCAAAUUCACUUUCUCUUCUCCCUUUGGAUUCCACAGCUCUGGGAUGUAGCCCAGGAAGCUGUAUUUUUUUUUUUUAACUUCCCUGAGUGAUUCUGGUGAUCUUCCUCUUGGAGCCACACUGAAGGGCAAGACAAGCAGUGGCUGAACGUUGUUGCCAGCAGGGUUAGGGAGGUGGGGGCAGAGGAUAAGGAGAAGU
rnacentral:lncRNA from 1 species